rnacentral:misc_RNA from 1 species
AUGAAUUGAAGAGAGUUGAUGCUGGUGGUCUUGUGACUGCAUGUGCUCGCUCUCCUAAUCCAAUUUACACCUGUGCACUUAACUUUGAAGGGAGGGUAAAACCUGCCUUCGAAAUCUUAAACUCUUAUAUAUAACGAAUGUUUAUCUGCCGCAAGGCAAAAUUAAAUA